rnacentral:rRNA from 1 species
UUCCGGUUGAUCCCGCCGGACCCGACUGCUAUUUGGGUGAGGAUAAGCCAUGCGAGUUGAAUGGGAAACCUAAAGUUCCCAUGGCAAACUGCUCAGUAACACAUGAUCAACUUACCCUAUAGAGAAAAAUAACCUCGGGAAACUGAGGAUAAUGUUUCAUAGUUGAAUUGGCUUGGAAAAGUUUUUCGACGAAAGGGGUAAAAAAAAUGGUUUUUAUCUGCUAUAGGAUAGGAUCGUGUUCGAUUAUGGUUGUUGGUGAGGUAAUGGCUCACCAAGCCGAUAAUCGAUAGGGGCCGUGAGAGCGGGAGCCCCGAGAUGGGUACUGAGACAACGACCCAGGCCUUACGAGGCGCAGCAGGCGCGAAACCUCCGCAAUACACGAAAGUGUGACGGGGUUACCCAAAGUGUUCAAUUUUGAACUGUGGUAGGUGAGUAAUGUUCCCUACUAGAAAGGAGAGGACAAGGCUGGUGCCAGCCGCCGCGGUAAAACCAGCUCUUCAAGUGGUCGGGAUAAUUAUUGGGCUUAAAGUGUCCGUAGCCAGUUUAGUAAGUUCCUGGUAAAAUCGGGUAGCUUAACUAUCUAUAUGCUAGGAAUACUACUAUACUAGAGGGCGGGAGAGGUCUGAGGUACUGCAGGGGUAGGGGUGAAAUCUUAUAAUCCUUGUUGGACCACCAGUGGCGAAGGCGUCAGACUGGAACGCGCCUGACGGUGAGGGACGAAAGCCAGGGGAGCGAACCGGAUUAGAUACCCGGGUAGUCCUGGCCGUAAACGAUGCAUACUAGGUGAUGGCACGGCCAUGAGCCGUGUCAGUGCCGUAGGGAAACCGUUAAGUGUGCCGCCUGGGAAGUACCGUCGCAAGGCUAAAACUUAAAGGAAUUGGCGGGGGAGCACCACAAGGGGUGAAGCCUGUAGUUCAAUUGGAUUCAUGCUGGGAAUCACUAUUGCCGCCGCCUGCAGGCGACCAUAUGGGAGAGCUCCCAACGCCGCUCGAUGCCCUAGCUUGAGUAUUCUAUAAGUGCCACUUAAAUAGCUUGGCGCACUCAUGAUCAUAUGCUGUUUCCUGGCGUAAAUUGCUUUUCCUUCACAAUUCCCACAAUAUUUCAAGCCGGCACCUACAC